UGAGUACGAGCUGCUACGGCAGCGAAGUGGGUGAUGUCAUGCUUCCAAGAAAAGCCCUAUACCCGUUAAGGCAUGAUGGCCUGUACCCGAAACCGACACAGGUGGGGUGGUAGAGAAUACCGAGGGGCGCGAGGUAACUCUCUCUAAGGAACUCGGCAAAAUGGCCCCGUAACUUCGGGAGAAGGGGUGCCACCGCAAGGUGGUCGCAGUGAAGAGGCCCAGGCGACUGUUUACCAAAAACACAGGUCUCCGCUAAGUCGCAAGACGAUGUAUGGGGGCUGACGCCUGCCCAGUGCCGGAAGGUUAAGGAAGCUGGUCAGCGUAAGCGAAGCUAGCGACUGAAGCCCCGGUGAACGGCGGCCGUAACUAUAACGGUCCUAAGGUAGCGAAAUUCCUUGUCGGGUAAGUUCCGACCCGCACGAAAGGCGUAACGAUCUGGGCGCUGUCUCGGAGAGAGGCUCGGCGAAAUAGAAUUGUCUGUGAAGAUGCGGACUACGUGCACCCGGACAGAAAGACCCUAUGAAGCUUUACUGUAGCUUGGUAUUGUGCUCGGGCUCGGAAUGCGCAGGAUAGGUGGGAGGCUAUGAACCAUUGCUUGUGGGUGAUGGUGAGCCACUGGUGAGAUACCACUCUUUCCGAGCUAGAGUUCUAACAGCCACCCGUUAUCCGGGGGCUGGACAGUAUCAGGUGGGCAGUUUGACUGGGGCGGUCGCCUCCUAAAAGGUAACGGAGGCGCGCAAAGGUUUGCUCAGGCUGGUUGGAAAUCAGCCGACGAGUGUAAAAGCAGAAGCAAGCUUGACUGUGAGACCUACAAGUCGAACAGGGAGGAAACUCGGCUUUAGUGAUCCGACGGUUCUGCGUGGAAGGGCCGUCGCUCAACGGAUAAAAGUUACUCUAAGGAUAACAGGCUGAUCUCCCCCAAGAGUUCACAUCGACGGGGAGGUUUGGCACCUCGAUGUCGGCUCAUCGCAACCUGGGGCUGAAGUCGGUCCCAAGGGUUGGGCUGUUCGCCCAUUAAAGCGGUACGCGAGCUGGGUUCAGAACGUCGUGAGACAGUUCGGUCCAUAUCCGGUGCAUGCGCAGGAAUAUUGAGAGGAUUUCUCCCUAGUACGAGAGGACCGGGAGGAACGCACCUCUGGUGUACCAGUUAUCGUGCCAACGGUAAACGCUGGGUAGCCAUGUGCGGAGAGGAUAACCGCUGAAAGCAUCUAAGUGGGAAGCCCACCUCAAGAUGAGUAUUCCCAUGGGGUAACCCAGUAAGGUCACGGGAAGAACACCCGUUGAUAGGCUCUACGUGGAAGCGCAGUAAUGUGUGAAGCGGAGGAGUACUAAUAGACCGAGGGCUUGACC
rnacentral:rRNA from 1 species